AUUGAACGCUGGCGGCAUGCCUUACACAUGCAAGUCGAACGGCAGCAUGGAGAGCUUGCUCUCUGAUGGCGAGUGGCGAACGGGUGAGUAAUGCAUCGGAACGUACCGUGUAAUGGGGGAUAACGUAGCGAAGGUUACGCUAGUACCGCAUACGACCUGAGGGUGAAAGCAGGGGAUCGCAAGACCUUGCGUUAUACGAGCGGCCGAUGUCAGAUUAGCUAGUUGGUGAGGUAAAGGCUCACCAAGGCGACGAUCUGUAGCGGGUCUGAGAGGAUGAUCCGCCACACUGGGACUGAGACACGGCCCAGACUCCUACGGGAGGCAGCAGUGGGGAAUUUUGGACAAUGGGGGCAACCCUGAUCCAGCCAUGCCGCGUGAGUGAAGAAGGCCUUCGGGUUGUAAAGCUCUUUCGGCCGGGAAGAAAUCGCACAGGCUAAUACUCUGUGUGGAUGACGGUACCGGCAUAAGAAGCACCGGCUAACUACGUGCCAGCAGCCGCAGUAA
rnacentral:rRNA from 1 species